rnacentral:rRNA from 1 species
ACAUGCAGUCGACGGUGAGCACGACCAGAGAGCUUGCUCCUUGGGUGACGAGUGGCGGACGGGUGAGUAAUGUCUGGGAAACUGCCCGAUGGAGGGGGAUAACUACUGGAAACGGUAGCUAAUACCGCAUAACGUCGCAAGACCAAAGAGGGGGACCUUCGGGCCUCUUGCCAUCGGAUGUGCCCAGAUGGGAUUAGCUAGUAGGUGGGGUAACGGCUCACCUAGGCGACGAUCCCUAGCUGGUCUGAGAGGAUGACCAGCCACACUGGAACUGAGACACGGUCCAGACUCCUACGGGAGGCAGCAGUGGGGAAUAUUGCACAAUGGGCGCAAGCCUGAUGCAGCCAUGCCGCGUGUAUGAAGAAGGCCUUCGGGUUGUAAAGUACUUUCAGCGAGGAGGAAGGCGUUGUGGUUAAUAACCGCAACGAUUGACGUUACUCGCAGAAGAAGCACCGGCUAACUCCGUGCCAGCAGCCGCGUAAUACGGAGGGUGCAAGCGUUAAUCGGAAUUACUGGGCGUAAAGCGCACGCGGGCGGUCUGUCAAGUCGGAUGUGAAUCCCCGGGCUCAA